rnacentral:rRNA from 1 species
GCCUACGGGGCGCAGCAGUGAGGAAUAUUGGUCAAUGGGCGAGAGCCUGAACCAGCCAAGUCGCGUGAGGGAAGACGGUCCUAUGGAUUGUAAACCUCUUUUGUCGGGGAGCAAGACCCGCCUCGUGCAGGCGGAGCGAGAGUACCCGAAGAAAAGGCAUCGGCUAACUCCGUGCCAGCAGCCGCGGUAAUACGGAGGAUGCGAGCGUUAUCCGGAUUUAUUGGGUUUAAAGGGUGCGCAGGCGGACCAUCAAGUCAGCGGUAAAAUCGUGGGGCCCAACCCCAUCCCGCCGUUGAAACUGGCGG